rnacentral:tRNA from 1 species
GGGGGUUUAGCUCAAGGGGCAGAGCGCAUGGUCAGCAUGUAUGAGGUCCUGGGUUCAAUCCCCAGUACCUCCA